rnacentral:lncRNA from 1 species
AAAAUAAUGUACUUUGACAAUAAAAAAGAAAUAGAAACAAAUAAAAAAAUAUCAAAGUUUGCAUAAAAAGAAAAUUCAUCAAAAAAAAAAGUUGUAAUCGAAAAAGAAAAACGACCUUGAAAAACAAAGUAAUAUACAACUUUUCAAUCUCUUAUCUGCUAGGCACUUUUGAAUCCCGGAAAAACUAAGAUUCUUGUAAGCCCAAACAUUACAAUCAAAAUAAAGACUUUAGUGAUUCAUGGUUGAUUAUGUAUCUGUGAUAUUGCUUAGAUAAAAUGCAAAAUGUUUUUAUAGUUGAUAC